rnacentral:rRNA from 1 species
UACGGAGGGUGCGAGCGUUAUUCGGAAUUACUGGGCGUAAAGCGCGUGCAGGCGGGAGAGUGGGUCUGAUGUGAAAGCCCGGGGCUUAACCCCGGAAGAGCAUUGGAAACUGCUUUUCUUGAGUUUCGGAGAGGAAGGGGGAAUUCCCGGUGUAGAGGUGAAAUUCGUAGAGAUCGGGAGGAACACCAGUGGCGAAGGCGCCCUUCUGGACGACAACUGACGCUGAGACGCGAAAGCGUGGGGAGCAAACAGG